rnacentral:tRNA from 1 species
UGGAGGAUUAGCUCAGCUGGGAGAGCAUCUGCCUUACAAGCAGGAGGUCACAGGUUCGAGCCCUGUAUCCUCCAUUGAGUCGUUAGCUCAGUUGGUAGAGCAUCUGACUUUUAAUCAGAGGGUCGGCAGUUCGAGCCUGCCACGACUCAUUGG